AGUGAACGCUGGCGGUAGGCCUAACACAUGCAAGUCGAACGGCAGCACAGUAAGAGCUUGCUCUUACGGGUGGCGAGUGGCGGACGGGUGAGGAAUACAUCGGAAUCUACUUUUUCGUGGGGGAUAACGUAGGGAAACUUACGCUAAUACCGCAUACGACCUACGGGUGAAAGCAGGGGAUCUUCGGACCUUGCGCGAUUGAAUGAGCCGAUGUCGGAUUAGCUAGUUGGCGGGGUAAAGGCCCACCAAGGCGACGAUCCGUAGCUGGUCUGAGAGGAUGAUCAGCCACACUGGAACUGAGACACGGUCCAGACUCCUACGGGAGGCAGCAGUGGGGAAUAUUGGACAAUGGGCGCAAGCCUGAUCCAGCCAUACCGCGUGGGUGAAGAAGGCCUUCGGGUUGUAAAGCCCUUUUGUUGGGAAAGAAAAGCAGCAGGUUAAUACCCCGCUGUUCUGACGUUACCCAAAGAAUAAGUACCGGCUAACUUCGUG
rnacentral:rRNA from 1 species